rnacentral:lncRNA from 1 species
ACAGAUCCGUGCUGCGUGCCCUCUGGGAAGGGUGAAGUAAAACCCUCAGUCUGAGCCUGAGAAAUCCUGGCAUUUGUAGCCCAGGGCUGCGAGGAAGCCACAGGGCGGUCCGCAGGGCGGUAUCGAGGCUCUGGGACCCAAGGAGGGGCAGGACGUCGUGCACCCCUCGCGCACGCACCUGUCGGGACCGGCCGCCUCCUCCUGCCUACCUGUCCUGCCUCCUUCGCCCCGAAUUUCACCUUAAACCAUGAUGAACCAAGCCCAGUGGAUUCUGAAGCCCGGGACGAUGGCAGUCCCAGGAUCUCAGGAUAUUGUUGGAACUCAUCUCCACCUCACACAGCCAGACCAGCCUCAGGUGUCUCCCAGGAAAGACUGCCCCUCAGGCCCUGGGACGGUUCCCAAGCCUGCCAGAAAUGAGGUGGAGGCCAACACUGACCUUUGGAUGGCUGAGUUUUGGAUGACUGACAGCCCCAGAUCCUGCUCCAGGUUCCUUCCUCAGGAA